AUUGAACGCUGGCGGCAGGCCUAACACAUGCAAGUCGAACGAGUGGCGGACGGGUGAGUAAUGUCUGGGAAACUGCCUGAUGGAGGGGGGUAACUACUGGAAAAGGUAGCUAAUAACGCAUACCCUCGGAGUAGCCCAGGUGGGAUUAGCUAGUAGGUGGGGUAACGGCUCACCUAGGCGACGAUCCCUAGCUGGUCUGAGAGGAUGACCAGCCACACUGGAACUGAGACACGGCCCAGACUCCUACGGGAGGCAGCAGUGGGGAAUCUUGCACAAUGGGCGCAAGCCUGAUGCAGCCAUGCCGCGUGUAUGAAGAAGGCCUUCGGGUUGUAAAGCACUUUCAGCCGGGAGGAGUUACCCGCAGAAGAAGCCCCGGCUUACUCCGUGCCAGCCGCCCCCGUUAUUU
rnacentral:rRNA from 1 species